rnacentral:tRNA from 3 species
AACAUAAUAAUUUUCUAUGUUACGGCCAUAGAGUCGAUGAAAGUUCAUCUUAUGUUU